rnacentral:lncRNA from 1 species
UAAGCAAAAUAUUAAAAACACACUUAAAAAAUAAGAUUACAGGGAGAUUGAGAGAAAUUGAGAAGAACAGAGAUAUAGAGAGAUAUAGAGAGAUGAUGAAAAACAUAAAAAUGAGGCUCUAUUUAUAGAAAAAUAAAUUCAUAAUCAAGUGUCUUGCGGUCCAUCAUAAGCUUCAUGUAUGCUCUCCUCACAACCAUUAGAUCAAGAUCCAACGGCUGGUCAAACAUCAAAAGUCAACAUUACACGUGGCAUCAUUUGACUCGUCUGAUUUGGCCAAAGAACGGUUGAGAUUUGGUGAGUUAAUGGGUGGAUCGAGUCAACCCGAAUACAAAGAUUCGGAUCCUACAACUUGUUUCACCAAUCAUUGCCUCGUGGCACAAUCAUGGCCAUUGAAUUAUGAACGGUUGAGAUUUAGUCAAAAUUGCCAGUUAUCCCAUGCACUCAUAUCUAUUGUAAGCUCAUUUUAUCAUCCAAUCAGUGCUCGAUCAAUAGAAAAAUUCAACUUUUUUUACACAAGCCCAAUUUUAUGCCGAUUUUGACUCAUCUUAAAGUUUUUGGACCUUCAGAAUCCAAAUUUGACAUCCGUUUAUCUAUUUGGAGCCUCGAAUUAUGUGAAAUUAAUAUUUUACCUAAUAAAC